rnacentral:rRNA from 1 species
GACGAACGCUGGCGGCGUGCUUAACACAUGCAAGUCGAACGAUGAUGCCCAGCUUGCUGGGUGGAUUAGUGGCGAACGGGUGAGUAACACGUGAGUAACCUGCCCCUGACCCUGGGAUAAGCGUUGGAAACGACGUCUAAUACUGGAUAUGACUGCCGGCCGCCUGGUCUGGGGGUGGCAAGUUCUGGCGGUGAAGGAUGGGCUCGCGGCCUAUCAGGUUGUUGGUGGGGUAACGGCCCACCAAGGCUUCGACGGGUAGCCGGCCUGAGAGGGUGACCGGCCACACUUGGACUGAGACACGGCCCAGACUCCUACGGGAGGCAGCAGUGGGGAAUAUUGGACAAUGGGCGAAAGCCUGAUCCAGCAACGCCGCGUGAGGGAUGACGGCCUUCGGGUUGUAAACCUCUUUCAGCGCAGACGAAGCGAAAGUGACGGUAUGCGCAGAAGAAGCACCGGCCAACUACGUGCCAGCAGCCGCAGUAAUAC